rnacentral:rRNA from 1 species
AUUGAACGCUGGCGGCAGGCCUAACACAUGCAAGUCGAACGAGUGGCGGACGGGUGAGUUAUGUCUGGGAAUCCGCGUGAUGGGGGGGGAACUCUUCGGGAAACGGUCGAUAAUACCGCACACUUGCAGAGGCGCCUAGAUGGGUUUAGCUAGUUGGUGGGGUAACGGCUCACCAAGGCGACGAUCCCUAGCUGGUCUGAGAGGAUGACCAGCCACACUGGAACUGAGACACGGCCCAGACUCCUACGGGAGGCAGCAGUGGGGAAUAUUGCACAAUGGGGGAAAGCCUGAUGCAGCCAUGCCGCGUGUAUGAAGAAGGCCUUCGGGUUGUAAAGUACUUUCAGCGGGGAGGCGGUACCCGCAGAAGAAGCACCGGCUAACUACGUGCCAGCAGCCGCGGUAAUUC